rnacentral:rRNA from 1 species
ACGAACGCUGGCGGCGUGCUUAACACAUGCAAGUCGAACGGAAAGGCCCCUUUGGGGGUACUCGAGUGGCGAACGGGUGAGUAACACGUGAGUAACCUGCCCUUGACUUCGGGAUAACUUCAGGAAACUGGGGCUAAUACCGGAUAGGAAUCCUUGCCGCAUGGUGGGGGUUGGAAAGCUUCGGCGGUUUUGGAUGGACUCGCGGCUUAUCAGCUUGUUGGUGGGGUAGUGGCUUACCAAGGCUUUGACGGGUAGCCGGCCUGAGAGGGCGACCGGCCACAUUGGGACUGAGAUACGGCCCAGACUCCUACGGGAGGCAGCAGUGGGGAAUAUUGCACAAUGGGCGGAAGCCUGAUGCAGCAACGCCGCGUGCGGGAUGACGGCCUUCGGGUUGUAAACCGCUUUCAGCAGGGGCGAAGCUUGUGGUGACGGUACCUGCAGAAGAAGCACCGGCUAACUACGUG